CUAGAAAAGGAGCCUUUGCAGUCCCAUUGAGUAAAGAAACCUGUUGUCAAAAAACACAGAAGAAAAGACCCUUGAAGACUGGGGAAAGGUUCAACAUUCAAACACACACGCAGUCACCACAAACGGCCCCCAGCUGCGAGGGAACUCCGAGCCGCCGAGCUGGUUCGGUAAGAUUAUUCAUCAACAGUUCCUCCAUCUUUCCUGAUCAGCGCAGCGGAGCUUUGGCAUGUAGUUGUGUUUCCAACACAGACCUCAAUGAGUCAGGAAUCUGGACAAUCUAGAAAGGCUGGCGCGAGAAACACACUCUUUCUCUUCUCACCCCAAGACGAUGAUAAUCUUAUCACCACCAGGGAGUCAAGUGAGCAUGGGGACAAUAAAGAUAAGGAAUACCUGAGCUGUGUGCCCUGAGGGCGUCCUAUAGUCAAAUAUAAGCUUGGAAAAUUAUGUAAAACAGUAUUUAGCGAGCUAAUAAAUAUGGCAUGGGAGUUUCGUUACGUUUUCGAACUUAUGUUUAGUCUAUAUCUAUUUUACAAAACAUCUAUGCAUGGAAUUAAUUAAUUUUUAUUGCGAAAAAAAACAUCGCCCUAUUUGUCCACUAGGGAGCACGCAGCAUCAGACGUCAACAAACGUGGUGAACAGUUGAGCAUGAGAAAUUAGUUCCUUCGUCACCAGUCUUGCUCGUGCACUGUGCUCAACAAACUCGUUUGAGAUUAAAUGAUCCACAUAUCGUUGGCAAACAACAUUACAACUUGUGUUGAUUUUACUGACUGUAUAUCAUUUUAAAUAUUACUUGUAUUUGAACAGUUUUAUGGCCAGAAAUGUGUCAAUGCAAAAAGAGUUUUAAACAAAAAACAGCUUAGGUUUUGGACUGACUGUUGGGGAAAAGAUCUGACCAUUAAAUACGUUGUGAUAAGGGCUUCAUGAUAAAUUACAGAUUGCGAUUGCUUAAAAAGUGAAAAUGGAUGCAUAGUGACAGUGAUCAAUAAUCUCAGUAUUUCCUGCAUGAACUAGUUAGUCAUGGUAAAUAGAUAGAUAGAUAGAUAGAUAGAUAGAUAGAUAGAUAGAUAGAUAUCAGAUGAAAUGUGUUUAACUUCAAAGUAAGGAUUGAAGAUGUCUAACAUGACUCAUUAUAAGUGAUUUAUUGCUAAUUAAUAGUAUAAUUAUUGAAUAAUUUAUAAUAAUCCCAUAAAUAAUUAGAUGAGAAUAACAGACUGGUUCAUGUCACAUGGUAGAGAUCAGCUGUGUUCCCUCAUUUGCAUAUAGAAUGUUGAGAUGUUCCGUGAAGACUUUAUGACGUCAUUAGAAUCUUUGGUCACAGACACACAGCUACCCCCAGAGAGUCACAGACCAGCCGUAACAUCACUUUGUUUACAGCUUUCAGGUGUUCAGAAGGACCUCGGAUCCAGCCACGAACACUAACCUCAGAGUUUAGCUUCUGUUUUUCAGGUUUUCAAGGAUAUAAUCACUUCUGCUUUUGUUUUCAGGUGUUCCAGGUAAUUAACCUCUUUUCUUUUUCAGGUUUUCCAGGUAAUUAACCUCUUUGCUUUUUAGGUUUUACACUUAUUCUUUGUGACUAAUUCACCCGUGCACCAUCAAAUUAAGAGUCAUGUCACGAAGAAGUCUCCGCCUGCAAGAAGCAGGGUAUUACACUGAAGACGGAACUCCAACCGUCUCCUACAAGGAGAAAUUAAACCGGGUAUUUAACAGGAGGAGGACGUACCAUGAUCCCUACAAUGAAAACAUUGUAAAGGACAAUCAUUGUAGAGGACAUGUGGACACUAACAGUCACACAGCUGAGUGUUUGGAUGUUGGGGCUCAGGUCUCCCGGCCGCGUGUCCCUCAUACCUGGAGUCAUCAACCAGCAACAAAUGGGACACAGGAGGUCAGGAGACCCAGAGGUAAGGGCUCUUCAUAAGAGAAAGAAGAGAUUCACAUGUAUUUGUAUUUCCUAACAUGUUCUAAACAUCCUGCUUGUGUCUCUCUGUAGUUCCAUUAAUGUCCAUUUUUACCUCAAAGAGAAUCUGUUUCGUCCUCACGUUUCUACGGGUUCUUGGUAGGUGACUUUACUCGUCCUGCUACUAACAAUCAUCUCUAAUGCAUGAGUACAAUUGAGGACAGAUGGUUUUAUAUUAUUCCAUUAGUCCAGGUCUUUGAAAUGUUCAUUGUUAGUAAAAGUCUCAUUUGUCUCUUCCUCAGGAUUAAUAUUCACAUGUAUAAAAUUAAGAGAGGUCCACCAGGAGUUGCUGUCCCUCAGACAGCAGAUGGACAUGUUGGUUCCUCUGGCAGACACGAUGCCAAACUUUGCAUUAGAAUCUCAAGGUGCCAGAGUGAUUCAACAUUUAUCCUCACAGACAUAUUGGCCUGGAGAAGACCCAGGCUUAGUAUGUAGAUGGAUGUUCAAAUGGUGGUGCUCACUGAAAGCCCAGAGAAGAGUGAUUCAGGUAGAGAUUACACAGCCACUAUUACUAUUACAGUGGACUGUAGUUCAACUGGAACAACCAAAGGACCAAGAACUGUGGAGACUAAAGUAUGUAAUCUUCUCCCCUCAGGGACAUUCAGCUUUACGUCCGGGUCAAUGUUGGUGAUUUGCAGGUGAACAGGGACAUUUAUUUGUCUCCCUGUCUCAUCCGGUCUCUGUCUCUCACGUGACCCUGGGCCACAUUCUCAAAAGCCAGUCCCCUGAUGGAAACAUUAAAAGUGCACCAAGGGAGUUUUCUAUAUAUGGAGCGAGGACCAAAGAUGAGGCAGGCACCUAUCUGGGAACAGUGGUCUAUGAUCUGGACGGAGCUAUGUUUCAGACCUUUAGUCUUUCUAAUCCAGACAACGGUGUUUUCAGAUAUAUGAAGCUACAGACUGAGACCAACUGGGGAAACAUAGACUACACCUGCCUCUACAGCUUCAGGGUUCAUGGAAAACUCCCUCCCUAACUGCACCUCCACUCAAAGGACAGCGUCUCCAUUGUUAAACCUGGGCCUUUCCCUCCAUGUAUUUGAGUGUAAAUGAUUGAUAGGGAUGAAACAUGGACAGUUGUCUAUUCCCGGUGCAUCUUAUUUCUGUCUGUCUACAGGGCCGGCCUCAAGCAGAUGGCUCCCCCCAUAUGAGCCGGGUUCUGCUCAAGGUUUCUUCCUGUUUAAAGGGAGUUUUUCCUUGCCACAGUCGCCUUAGUGCUUGCUCUGGGGGGUUCAGGCUCUUUAAAGUGUUUUCAGACAGUUAAGAUGCAUUUUAGGCAAUAUAGACUGAACUGAAUGGAACUUAAUUUUACAAAAUUUAAUUUAACUUAUCUCAACUAAAAUGAGGUAACCUAGAAAAAAAUAGCUGAUCUUAACAUAAUUAAAUGAUUUUAAAUGAAAUGGAUUGAACUUAAAUGUGCUUAACUGAAUCACAUUAGAAACAAGGCCCAGGAUGUAUCCUUUAUCUAAAAUAACAUUAAUUUUACUAAUUUACUUGACUCAAUAAAAAUGUAUAUAAAACUAGAACUGCUUCCUCUCCUUUCUUUACUAAUGGGUGUAUCCAUACAUCUUGCAAAACCACAUACCAGUCUUGUGCCAAUCCAGUGAGUUUCUCUACAGUGAAAUGAUUUGAAAAUAUUAUCGGUUCAUGUUCAUCAUCACAUGUUCAGGACACAACGUUUAGUUUCACAUCACAUAUCCAUAUGUCCUUGGUAAACAACGUUUACUGACUAUAAAGCACUAGAAUUUGGACAGCUUUAUGGCCAGAAAUACGUCAAAAUUAGGGUUUGUUAUGCUUUCAAAUCUCAAAUGAAAUGUCAAUGUACGUGGCAGAAAUUCACAUCCAGUAACUAUAAUACUAUCCUACUAAGUCAAGGCUCAAAUAUUUGGUCAACACUGAGCUAAAAGCAUGAUCUGAUGUAGUUAGCUCUGAUUCAACCUAUAAAAAACACAGUGUUAUAGAUAUGCAUGCCAAUAAAUAAACUGGGGUUUAGCAAUAAUUUCAGUUAAUUUUCAGUCUUUUAGAUUACCAGUAAUUAACAUGUUUUAUUUUAACAGAUACGCUAGCCCUGCUAAAUGCUAACAACCUGUCUACCUUGGAUCUACAAUCAUGGUAGCUUAAGAGGAUUAGGUAUUUGGCCAAUCAAACAAUCACUGUAGCGUCUAGGUCUGCGGACUGUUAAAUGCCAGUCUACCACAGGACACAAAAGCCUUUUUACUGUAACGGACAUGAGAUAUGAAUGCCCGUGAGACUAAACUCAGGGAUCUAAAACCCCCAGGGAAAUGGUGACACACCGCCUCCCUCCAGUCACAAUGACAAACUUCCAAGAACCUCAUACAUUUAGUAGUUGGACAAAAGAUUAAAGAGGAAAGGACAUUUGUCCAAGCUGGGGCUGGUUUCUUCAAAAAGGUUGUGAAGUUGUGAGAAUGGGGGAGGGGGGUAUAUUAUGAGGGUACAUCCCUAACUGUAGUUUAUUUCACGGAGGAGCCCUGAGGCAGCAGUUAUAGAGGACGGUACAGACAGUACAUUACAGUACAGUACAGUACAGGCAGAGCAGCUUGGGAGGUGAUGAUGGAGAAAUAAGUGUGCCUGGGCUUGUCUGCUGCCUGGUCAGACACUACUUCAUUCUUAGUCAGCUGACACAGUGGAGCCACUAAAUGGGAUUGUCUUUAUCCCUCCCUCUGUAACUCUCUCCUGGCAAAACCUGGCUGGGGACAUUGUUCAAAUGUCUUUUUUAUAUAUAUAUAUAUUGGGAGAAACUCAACAGUUUUGCCCUUUUCUACCUGUUAAAAGUCAGUAUUGGUUAAAACAGCAAAGCCGCUCCCAUAGAAUGCAAACACAACACGUCUAACAGCUCAGACACGCUUUAGGGAAAUAGACAUCUGGAUUAAUAAUGUGUCUUUCCGUGAGUUGGCUGAAGGAAUUGAGGUGUGUUUCUUGGCUGUGCGCUGCCAUAAGGGUGUGGCUGCAGUGACUAUUCACCGAGUUGUUGAUAAGGCAUGAUUCGUCAGACUGCAUUAUGAGUUGUAGGUGUGGAGCCAGGGACGACUCGGCUGGGUCACAUGUCCUAUCAGGAAACAAUAAUGGCCUUUUCUGAGUACAUCGCUGCUAUCCAGCACAGCUACGCUCCUCUCUGGCUCAUCGCUGAGCCAAUAUAAUGCAGCAACCAGAAAGUAAGUGGCCUGUCCUGUGAUGUAUUGACCUACUGAAAGGACCACCAUGAAACAUCCCUCGGACGUUAAAUAGUCUCCGGGUGAUGAAUCCUAUUGUCUCUUUACUUUUGCCCUAAGCUGUUCAGGGUGACAUUUGUGACCCUCCAGGACACUGGUCACGUGUUAUAGGUAAAAAUGAACGCUUGGGUUUAACCACAGCUACACAGAAGAUGGAAUAAAAAAAAAUCGUAUUAUUGAACUGGCACGGAUCGCUUAAAAACCAUGUUCACCGGUUAGACACGCUUCAUAUCAACAAAACCACGAGGUUAAUGUAUUUUUCAAAUGAAAGGAAAACAAACCAUGAGCCCAUUUAAUAAACAUGACGUUUUGAUUUAGUGCAUGCUGAGUCGAGUCCUGGU